UGCCCUAACGAAUUGGUCUCCAUCCGCAUCGCAGAGACUUGUCCGCCGCUAACCCUUGUACUGCGCCGCCGCCUGCUGCACUGACCUCCCCGCCGUCGUCGCGAGCCCCGCGGCUUCCGGCUGCCGUCGCCGCGAGCCCCGUGGCUUCCGGCUGCCGCCUCCCCCAGCAGUAACCUCCCCGAGCGCCGAGGCUUGCGGUGCUCGCGGCGCCGCCGUCGCCCCGAGCGACAGCCCCCCGCGCGCCUGGUCUGCUCGCGGUCACUUAGUCGUGGAGGAGCGCGAUGCGAGGGCAAACAGGCCGUGGAUACUCGCGUCGCCGCCGUCGACGCCGUGGCCGGCCCCGCGCGCGGCAAGGAGCGGUGCAUCGCUGCUGCCGGGCCUAUCGGCGGUUGGUAGAGCGCUGGUGGUGGGCUAUCGGUGCUGCCAAAUCGCCGCCGUCGACGCCGUCGCCGGCCCCGCGCGGCAAGGAGCGGUGCAUCACUGCUAGCGGAUCUAUCGGCCGUUGGUAGUGCGCUCGUGGUGGGCUAUCGGUUUUGCCAAAUCGUGUGUCCUCGCCGUCUCAGACCGUGGUGGGAUGUUUGGAAGAAAAAAGUUGUAUCACACUGGUAUGUUGUUUGAAUGGAAAAUGAUGGUUUAUGGUUUGCAAUGAAAAAUGCAUGAUUGAAUGAAGGGUCAAUAUGUUUGAGUACUGCAUAUAUCUGAAACUGUUUGAAAGAACGUUUACAUCACUGAGUUGACCAAGAUAAAAAUAGAGAAUUUGUUAUCAUCAAUUAUAAGUACUUGACAUGUUUUGCUCCUGUUUGUGGCAAAUUUCUUCAGAUUCUUCCUUGUGUAGAUGCAUUAUGUCUUCUUGGACUUGAAUCACCUCAUUCAUGGUUGAAUUGAUCAAGGUGGUGGCCACUUUAGCUCUAAAAGUAGUUGUCGUGUGCUGAAAUAAUAAAACGAGGAAAAAUUAGACAUGAUAUACUUCUUCAGCACGUAGAUCGCAUAGCAGAUCUUAGCAGAGAAUACUUGCCAUUGCAUCGUACUCGGGGGAUAGGUCUUUUCCAUUCCAGUGUUCAAUGCACUUGAGCGUAAACAAUCCACAUGACCAUCUGAAAUUUUCAAUUAUGUUUAUAGUGUUACAUUUAGACAUCAUAGUAAUUUUUAUUUACAGAUAGUAGAAAUGGUUACCCGUCCUUCUGUUGAGGCACUUGCAUCGGGCAUAUUGGCCAUUUCGUGAUGUUCGUAGAAUUCCAUUUAUAAGUCUUGUGUUCAUCUUGUUUGGCAUAACGAAGAUACUUCUCUAUUCCUUUGAUCUGUUAUAUUGCAAAGAAAUAUAAUUAGUUGUAGUGCUUUCAGAAGGGAAGUGUAUGAAAUGUGUUUUCAUUAUACCGUAGUGGUAAGGGUUUUUUCUGCAUCAUAGCUUGUCCUAUCCAUAUGCAGUGAGUCCAGUAUUUGGAUUUUUUCAUUGACACCAUCCAGGACAGCUACAUACCAGUGGGCCGAGUUUCUAUUUAAGGGUAGGAAAAUCUACAUGCGGAAUCAUGAGUAAGAAAUGCAUUUUCACUUAUGGAUAUAAUGUAUACGAUGUAUGUAUUACCAUUUCAUGCUCUAAAUAGCUGGCAGCAACUUUAGAUCUUUGAUCACGAUAUCUCUUGUUGCAUGUACCUUUGUCUGUACCAUUAAUUUUCCACAGCUGGCAUUGUGUUGCAGUUUCAAGGAGUGCAAUUCCCUGUCCUCGUGGAGUGUCGGAUUGCUUGUCUAUGAUGAUUUGUAUGUAUGCAUCUAUGACCUGUCCAAUAGCAGUGCAUAUUGUGAGUGUUUAAUUAUUCUGUUGUUGGUUAAAUUAGAAGCAGGAGAUAGCAGUGCUUACAGUGCCGUUCAACCACUUUGCUUUGGAUGGAGCCUGUUUUGGUAGGAUAAGUGGUUUCAGAUGCUGUCGAAAAAUCUUGAUUCCUGCAAUUGUUGAUAGCAAUUUUUUGUCUUCACUCUUAGAGAUGUAACUCAAGGUUACUUCAUCCAGCAGGCUUAGAUCAUGUGGUUUCGGUUCCCUACUAGAUUUAACUGGCUUUGGAAAUGUUUUUUUGUAGUAGAUGAAAUCAGUUUGUGACUUGUGUGUUGGCUUGAUAAUCCUUCCCUCCGGUCGUCUAAGCCUUCCGCCAAUUGUUGAUAACUGCUGCAAUGUACAAGCAAUUAGCAUAAUGGUCAGUGUAGCAUUUGUAAUGUAGAUGUAGGUCUAUUAUUUGAAAAACCAGUGUUGGAUUUUGCUGGCUAUUGUCAUCGCUUUCGAUUAUGUGUGGAGAAGUAGCUGUUCCAUUUGGUUGACUAUCGUAGUUCUGUUAAGAUGCAACAAGAUUAGUUAGUCAUUUGUAAUGCUCAUUGGAAUAUACUAUUUUGCUUGCAACCUUACCUUUGAAUCAUCAACUAGGUCUUGUCGGCAAUCUGCCCUGGAAUCAAUUACUGUCUCUUCUUGUUUGGCUGCUGGUUUAAAUUUACGGAAAGUUCGUGACCUUGAAGUUGUACCCAACCUGUACUUUAUUGCCUAUGCAUGUUCGAAAUCAUAAAUAGUACAAGUACAAUAUCAUUAACUUAGUACCUGAAUUUGUUAUGAGUACAAUAACUGUUAAAAUUGGUUCUGUACCUGAAUAUCUCUUCUAUUUUGAAUGCAAGUAUUCUCUAUUGAGAUUAGUUUUGUGGAUAUCUUGUUGUCCAGAAACUGACAACCUUGUUGAAUCUGCAUGAGUUGUGUCAUAAUUGCAUCGAAAUUGGCUGAUUGAUGUGCCUACAACAGAGAGAUUUAAUAAAUGUUUGAGGUGAGUAGUUUAAACUUCAUACAGUGGGUAUUACCUCAGGAUCUUUGUAAUUUUCAGGACUUGAUGCCUUCAACAGAGAGAUUUAAUAAAGGUUUGAGUUGAACUGUUUAAACUUCAUACAUUGGCUAUUACCUCUGGAUAUUUGAAAUUUUCAGGACUUGAUGGAACAUUAACAUCGUCUUCUAUGUAAACAUGGUGUGGACUCUCAUCAUCAUCGCCUCUUCCAUGCUCAGGCCAUUAGCGGCGGUGGCCUUCCAACGUAUGUCAGUGUGCACAUUGGAUCGUUAAUGUGUACAUGUUCCCAUGCCCAAAACUGAAAAAAAAAGAGAGCAAGAAUCACUGAAUGUGGAUUGCAAAUGGAGACGUGUAAUGGAUACUUUCAUACCUGAAGCAAUGGGCUAGGUACUGAGAACUAACUAUUGGCUUGGUGGUGGGGCAUAGGAUGUACCCAAUGGUGAAUAGUACAAAUCUUCUAAGAAAGUGCUCAUCUGGGUGUUUUGCACUAUUGAUUUGUCUUGCCAACUCAUGUAGGGAAAUGUUCUUCCCCUUAUGUUGCUUGUACAUUGAAUAAUAUUUGUAGUCUUCUCCAUUCAUGUGAGGCUUUGGCUUGAUAAUCAUACCAUCCGCAGGCAACCCCAUGAUACACUUCACAUCAUGGGUUGUUAUUGGUAUUGCUGUUCCUUGGAUGUUAAUUGUUUCAGUUUUACUGUCAUAUCUCUCAGCAAUUUGCCCAAUCAGUUUGCGGUGAAGGGUGAUAUCUGGCAGGGCAAGCAUCCGGCCAAAUCCAAUCCUCUCAAUUUGUGAUA